rnacentral:antisense_RNA from 1 species
CAAAAUUGCUGAGGAAUCAAAGUUCAAAAGGGCCCCAGGUUCUGACCAGCCACUGCGGCUCAUGCCUGAAAUCCCAGCACUUUGGGAGGUCUAGGUGGGAGGAUCACUUGAGCCCAGGAGUUUGGACCAGCCUGGGGAACAUAUAGAGAACUUGUUUCUAUUGUACAGCAACAAAAAUGCCCCAGGUGGGCUGGGCGCGGUGGCUCACGCCUGUAAUCCCAGCACUUUGGGAGGCCGAGGUGGGCAGAUCACGAGGUCAGGAGUUUGAGACCAGACUGACCAACAUGGUGAAACCCCGCCUCUACUAAAAAUACAAAAAUUAGCCGUGCAUGAUGGUGGGCGCCUAUAAUCCCAGCUACUUAGGAAGCUGAGGCAGGAGAAUCGCUUGAACCCAGGAGGCAGAGGUUGCAGUGAGCCUAGAUCACACCACUGUACUUCAGCCUGGGUGGCAGGGUGGCAGAGCCAGACUCCGUCUCAAAAAAAAAAAAGAGGUUGCCUUUGGAGUCUGAAACCAAUCUGUAGGUUACAGGCAUCCCAGCAUCUUGAUUCAGGCCACCACUGAUGUAACAUCAUCAGUUUUAUGA